GAUGAAGAACGCAGCGAACUGCGAUAAGUAAUGUUAAUUGCAGAAUUCAGUGAAUCAUCGAGUCUUUGAACGCACAUUGCGCCCCCUGGCAUUCCGGGGGGCAUGCCUGUCCGAGCGUCAUUGCUGCCCUUCAAGCCCGGCUUGUGUGUUGGGUCGUCGUCCCCCCCGGGGGACGGGCCCGAAAGGCAGCGGCGGCACCGCGUCCGGUCCUCGAGCGUAUGGGGCUUUGUCACCCGCUCGAUUAGGGCCGGCCGGGCGCCAGCCGGCGUCUCCAACCUUCUAUUUUACCAGGUUGACCUCGGAUCAGGUAGGGAUACCCGCUGAACUUAAGCAUAUCAAAAGCGGAGGA
rnacentral:misc_RNA from 1 species